CUACUGUCUGACAUUCUCCUGAAAUGCAUGAGCAUCACACUUAUCAAUAUAAUUGUAUAAAUCACUUGAUUUGGUUUCAUUUUCUUCCAAUAUUUAAAAUGACAGGAUAAUUCUUAUUAGAAUGUGCAGUGUGUUAAAGGUUAUAAUGUACAAUGGACAGGAAUAAACCCACAUUCCUUCCUCGUGCUGCUUAGGACCAUGCUAAAUUUAGCUGUGGCUGAGUUACCAUACUGGGGGAAGGAAUGAGAAGGGUGCAAUCAUAUGACAACGGAACUACAGUCAGCCAGAGUGUAGUGUAGAGACUGCAACAUUAACCUUUAAAAAAAACUAUAAAAAGUCACUUAAAAUGAUUCUGCCUUCACUCAAGUGAUCAAUGUGGAGAUGAGUGAGUGUUGCCCGUUCCCCAUGGGAAAACAAGUGAACAUCUUUUCCUGCAAGCACUCAUUCUGACUCAGCUCCAUCCGAGUGGAGGUGCAGCAGUUCACGGCUGCUCAUGUUUUUAUCUGUAGAAUGAAGCUACUGAAGGGAUCUCCGAUCUCCAGGCUGAACCAUACACAGAAGGUGAACGAGCGAAAAGGUGCAAAAACAGCAGUUGAUGACAGAAACAUUGUGAGAGCUGUGAAAAAAAACCCAAAAACAACAGCCAGUGACAUAACCAACAACCUCCACAGCACAGCGGUGAAGAAGAAGGAGACACUGAAGAUGAUGGUCAAGCAGUGAGUCUAUUUAUCACUUCAUGACUUUUACGCUAUUAAGUAAUACAUGGUUAAGAUACAGUCCAACGACAAAACAAAAUAAGC